AAGAGUAUAGCCAAGCAAGGAUACGAUUGCUCCUCCUACUCUAGCUAUUGAGUGCCGAUGUGAGUUCGUGUGCAAUUGUUCGACAUCUACUAGAUAAGAUGCAAGCUUGAAGAGACGUUGUUUGGUCGAGUUAUGUGGAAAUUGUCUAGUCAAUAUAUAUUCAUGUAUGAUGAUGCAUGUAGAGGUGACAAUUGAUAUAGUUGAUUUAGUAGAAGCAUGAUAAUAGAUUUUACUUGUUGUUAGGAUUUACUUUUCUU
rnacentral:lncRNA from 1 species